UACAGAGGGGGCAAGCGUUAUUCGGAAUUAUUGGGCGUAAAGGGCGCGUAGGCGGUUCUUCAAGUCUCUCGUGAAAUCCCUCGGCUUAACUGAGGACGUGCGGGAGAUACUGAAGGGCUUGAGUCCGGAAGAGGGUGGUGGAAUUCCCAGUGUAGCGGUGAAAUGCGUAGAUAUUGGGGAGGAACGACCGGUGGCGAAGGCGGCCCACCUG
rnacentral:rRNA from 1 species